UCUGGUAAUGAUGACACACUUGCCCUCACUGAGAAUGUUAUUCUAUAAUGAGAACACAACACCAAUGUACUCGGUUAACCUGAACCAGA
rnacentral:snoRNA from 1 species